GAUGAACGCUGGCGGCGUGCCUAACACAUGCAAGUCGAGCGGGCCAAGAGAAAUGCUUGCAUUUCUUGGAAGCUAGCGGCGGACGGGUGAGUAACGCGUGGGUAACCUGCCCUUAACACAGGAAUAACUGUGAGAAAUCACAGCUAAUGCCGGAUAAGCUUACAACACCGCAUGGUGAAGUAAGAAAAGAUUUAUCGGUUAAGGAGGGGCCCGCGUCUGAUUAGCUAGUUGGUAAGGUAAAGGCUUACCAAGGCUUCGAUCAGUAGCCGGCCUGAGAGGGUGAACGGCCACAUUGGGACUGAGACACGGCCCAAACUCCUACGGGAGGCAGCAGUGGGGAAUAUUGCACAAUGGGGGAAACCCUGAUGCAGCAACGCCGCGUGAAGGAAGAAGGGUUUCGGCUCGUAAACUUCUAUCGACAGGGAAGAAAGAAAUGACGGUACCUGAAUAAGAAGCCCCGGCUAACUACGUGCCAGCCGCCGCCGUAAAAC
rnacentral:rRNA from 1 species